CUCUGGGUCCACCUCCCACCCGUGUUUAUUUUACCUUGUUGCUUCGGCGGGCCCGCCUUAACUGGCCGCCGGGGGGCUUACGCCCCCGGGCCCGCGCCCGCCGAAGACACCCUCGAACUCUGUCUGAAGAUUGAAGUCUGAGUGAAAAUAUAAAUUAUUUAAAACUUUCAACAACGGAUCUCUUGGUUCCGGCAUCGAUGAAGAACGCAGCGAAAUGCGAUACGUAAUGUGAAUUGCAAAUUCAGUGAAUCAUCGAGUCUUUGAACGCACAUUGCGCCCCCUGGUAUUCCGGGGGGCAUGCCUGUCCGAGCGUCAUUGCUGCCCUCAAGCCCGGCUUGUGUGUUGGGCCCCGUCCCCCGAUCUCCGGGGGACGGGCCCGAAAGGCAGCGGCGGCACCGCGUCCGGUCCUCGAGCGUAUGGGGCUUUGUCACCCGCUCUGUAGGCCCGGCCGGCGCUUGCCGAUCAACCCAAAUUUUUAUCCAGGUUGACCUCGGAUCAGGUAGGGAUACCCGCUGAACUUAAGCAUAU
rnacentral:rRNA from 1 species